CAGGUUCUGUCUCUCUGCACUGAGACGCGGAGCCGACGUCAUCCGUCCCGGUUUGUAGCAGUCUGGGAAUCAUCUGCUCAUCGCAGCUAGUCUACUCUCUCUCUCUCUCUCUCUCUCAAUUAUAAACCAAACCGCAACAGGUUCAGAACGACAUUAGUGUUCCAGGUGGGAAUUAAGGAAUAACGUCGUUAAAAAGGAGGGAUUUGUCCUAAACUAAGAAGAUGAUGAAACGAGCAGCCCCCGAAGCUGCCGCUACCCUCCUUUGCAUUGAACGAUGUCUGUGAGUUACCCAGCUGAAUAGAGGAGCUUCCUGUAGCCGUUAGUGCAACCCGCUAGGAACGCAGGAGUCCUUAGGCUGAUGAUGUAGGACGGACGGAAGAAAUCCUGUGAUAUCCUUCAUCGAAGGAUAUCCUUCCCCCGGGAAGCACACGGUAGAGGAUGAAGGAGCAGGAAUCUCUGGAAGCAGGUGGGUGAUACUGUUGGUCAA